CAAUGGUUCUACCCUUAUUUAUCUUUUUCAACUGUAUUUACCAGUGCUAAUUUGACAUUUCUUAUUCAUUCACUUGCCUCUUUUUUGCAAUAGGCACUUGAUGAUAAUGUCAAGUUAAAGCUCUCUCAGUUUUGCCAUGUUCCGGCUGAAAAUAUUGUCACUCUCUAUGACGUUCCAAAUAUUUGGCACAUUCCUUUACUACUAAAGAGAUCAAAAGGCACAUGAAGCAAUCUUGAAAGGAUUGAACCUAAUAGGGUUUUCCCUAUGAACUCUCUAAUCCACCCUUUAUUUUUUUUCAUAUCUAAUUGCAUGAUCUGUCUCCAUCUA